UACAGAGGUCUCGAGCGUUGUUCGGAUUCAUUGGGCGUAAAGGGUGCGUAGGUGGCUAGGUAAGUCGGAUGUGAAAUCCCGGGGCUCAACCCCGGAGCUGCAUUCGAUGCUGCCUGGCUAGAGUACUGGAGAGGAGAUUGGAAUUUACGGUGUAGCAGUGAAAUGCGUAGAUAUCGUAAGGAAGACCAGUGGCGAAGGCGGAUCUCUGGACAGUUACUGACACUGAGGCACGAAGGCCAGGGGAGCAAACGGG
rnacentral:rRNA from 1 species